rnacentral:rRNA from 1 species
ACGGAAGGCAGCAGUGGGGAAUAUUGCACAAUGGGCGAAAGCCUGAUGCAGCGACGCCGCGUGAGGGACGACGGCCUUCGGGUUGUAAACCUCUUUCAGUAGGGAACAAGGCAUCAUUUUUGUGGUGUUGAGGGUACUUGCAGAAGAAGCACCGGCUAACUACGUGCCAGCAGCCGCGGUAAUACGUAGGGUGCAAGCGUUAUCCGGAAUUAUUGGGCGUAAAGAGCUCGUAGGCGGUUUGUCGCGUCUGUCGUGAAAGUCCGGGGCUCAACUCCGGAUCUGCGGUGGGUACGGGCAGACUAGAGUGAUGUAGGGGAGACUGGAAUUCCUGGUGUAGCGGUGGAAUGCGCAGAUAUCAGGAGGAACACCGAUGGCGAAGGCAGGUCUCUGGGCAUUAACUGACGCUGAGGAGCGAAAGCAUGGGGAGCGAACAGGAUUAGAUACCCUGGUA